rnacentral:rRNA from 1 species
GACGAACGCUGGCGGCGUGCUUAACACAUGCAAGUCGAACGGUGAAGCGCCUUCCUUUUUGGUGGGUGUGGAUGAGUGGCGAACGGGUGAGUAACACGUGAGUAACCUGCCCCCUUCUUCUGGAUAACCGCAUGAAAGUGUGGCUAAUACGGGAUAUUCUGGGUCUGUCGCAUGAUGGGUCUGGGAAAGAUAUUGUUUCGGUGGGGGAUGGGCUCGCGGCCUAUCAGCUUGUUGGUGGGGUGAUGGCCUACCAAGGCGGUGACGGGUAGCCGGCCUGAGAGGGUGGACGGUCACACUGGGACUGAGACACGGCCCAGACUCCUACGGGAGGCAGCAGGGGGGAAUAUUGGACAAUGGGGGCAAGCCUGAUGCAGCGACGCCGCGUGAGGGAUGGAGGCCUUCGGGUUGUGAACCUCUUUCGCCAGUGAAGCAGGCCUGCCUCGUUUGUGGGUGGGUUGACGGUAGCUGGAUAAGAAGCGCCGGCUAACUACGUG